UUUCUUCUUCACCUAAGGUUGUUAGAAAAUCACAUAAUCUUCAAAAGCCUUCCUUCAUUCUUAUUCAGUUUCCUUCCUUUUCAUUGCGUUUCUCUCUUAGCUUGCUACUGCACAACUCCUGCUCAUUCACCCAGACUUCACGAUUCAUCGCAAAUUUUUCUUCAUAUCUGCUGCUUGCUUGCCGCCCUUCUUUCAAACAACGAGUGUGGCGUGCAGGAUUUUGGUUCUAAUCCGGCGUGGGGUAUGCUUUGCUGUUCCAUAACAAAUACUUAACUUUAGCGAUGAAGAGGUCCAGAGAGGAUGUAAACAUGGAAUCACACCUCCAGCGUCCAGUAUUUCCCUCUAGAGGAGAAUCAACUGUGCAGAGCCAGAUGGUGGGAGGUGGCAGUAUUCAGAAACUAACAACGAAUGAUGCCCUAGAAUAUCUUAAGAAUGUCAAGGACAUCUUCCGAGACAAGAAGGAAACAUAUGAAGAUUUUCUUGAAGUUAUGAAAGAAUUCAAGGCUCAAAGAAUUGAUACUGCCGGUGUCAUAGCAAGAGUAAAGCAUCUAUUUAAAGGUCAUCGUGACCUGAUUUUGGGCUUCAAUACUUUUUUGCCCAAAGGAUUUGCAAUAACUUGUUCUCCUGAGGAUGAAAUACCUCCUCAAAAGAAGAAGCCUGUUCAAUUUGAAGAAGCUAUCAACUUUGUCGGUAAGAUUAAGACACGGUUCGAAGGUGAUAGCCAUGUAUACAAGUCAUUUUUAGAAAUAUUGAAUUUGUACAGGAAGGAAAACAAAUCUAUAAGUGAGGUGUACCGGGAGAUCUCUGCACUGCUGCAAGACCACCCAGAUCUUCUCAGGGAGUUUGUUCAUUUUCUGCCUGAUGCUUCAGCCACAACCUCAAAUAAUCACGUGUCAUCUCUGAGAAAUUCUGUGCUUCGUGAUAAAAAUUCUUCAAUGCCACCUAUUCAACAAAAAGAGAGGACAAUGGCUUCACAUGCUGACCACGACGUGGGUGUUAACCAUCCUGAUUGUGACCAUGCUAGAGUAACUAUAAAAGGUGAUAAAGAUAAAUGUCAGUACAGUGAAAAAGAGAAGGACAGGAGAGACAACACAGAUAGUAGGGAACAGUAUAGAGACGUUGAUAAAAAGUUUAAUGAGCAUGAUAACAGUAGGGACAUCAGCAUGCAGAGUUUUUCCCUAAAGAAGAAAUCUACCAUUAGGGUUGAAGAUACAGCUUCAGAGAAAUUGCGUCCAGGUGGAGAAGGUAUGUCUUUUAUUGAGAAGAUAAGGCAGAAGUUACCAAAUCUUGAUGUUUACCAAGAAGUUGUGAAGUGCCUUGAUAUAUUUGACAAGGAAAUAAUCACUCGAUCAGAACUGCAUUCUCUGGUGAGAGAUUUGCUUGGAAGAUAUCCAGACCUUAUGGAUGCUUUCGGUGAAUUUAUGACACUUUGUGACAGAACUGAUGGGCUUCUAGCAGAUAUUAUGAGUAAAAAAGCCUUGUGGAAUGAAGGUAGUUUACCAAGAUUGGUGAAGGUAGAGGAAAAGGAUAGAAAUCGAGAUCAGGAAAGGGGGGAUGGUGUUAAAGAACGAGACCAUGGAAAUCGAGAAAAGGAUAAUAGGCUUGAUAAAAGUGUUGCUUUUGGCCAUAAUGAUGUUGGAAGCCACAAGAUGUCUCUAUUUUCUGGCAAGGACAAAUAUUUUGCAAAGCCUAUCAAUGAACUUGACCUCUCUAAUUGUGAGCGGUGUACACCCAGUUACCGUCUUCUUCCGAAGAAUUAUCCAAUACCCUAUGCUAGCCAAAGAACAGAAAUUGGUGAUCAUGUUUUAAAUGAUCAUUGGGUUUCUGUCACUUCAGGAAGUGAGGAUUACUCUUUUAAACAUAUGCGCAAAAACCAGUAUGAAGAAAGCCUCUUUCGUUGUGAGGAUGACAGGUUUGAAUUAGAUAUGUUGUUAGAGUCUGUUAAUGUAACAUCCAAGCGUGUCGAAGACUUAUUAGAAAAAAUCAACUUGUCUGACAAUCCAGUCCAUAUUGAAGAUCAUUUAACAGCAGCACUUAAUUUGAGGUGCAUUGAGCGCUUAUAUGGUGAUCAUGGCCUUGAUGUGAUGGAUGUGUUAAGGAAGAACGCUCCUCUUUCUCUCCCUGUUAUAUUAACCCGUUUGAAGCAAAAGCAAGAAGAGUGGGCACGGUGUCGAUCUGAUUUUAAUAAAGUUUGGGCUGAAAUAUAUUUUAAGAAUUAUCAGAAAUCACUGGAUCAUCGCAGCUUCUAUUUCAAGCAGCAGGAUACAAAGAGCUUAAGCACAAAAGCUUUGUUAUCAGAGAUCAAGGAAAUUAGUGAAAAGAAGCAUAAGGAAGAGGAUGUCGUGCUCUCUAUUACUGCAGAAAAUAAACGACCUAUAAUCCCAAAUUUGGAAUUUGACUAUCCUGAUCAGGAUAUUCAUGAAGAUCUCUAUCACCUUAUCAAAUAUUCCUGUAGAGAAAUAUGCUCCACAGAUCAGUCCGAUAAAGCUAUGAAGAUUUGGACAACCUUCCUGGAGCCCAUGCUUGGUAUUCCUUCACGGCCCCUGGGUGCUGAGGAUUCCAAAGAAACUAUUAGGGAACAUAAUUUUGCAGUUAGAGGUACUGCAGUUGGCAUGGUAGAGAUCAGCAGUAGUUCUAAUGGUGGAGGUGUUGAGUCCAAGCUGUCAGAUCCUCCCAGAACUGAAGUAGAAAGCAUUCCACCUAAACAAUCAAGCCCUUGCAGGGUUUGGCCCACGAAUGGAGAUUCUUGCCCUGAAGAAAAUAGUUUUCACAAAGAAAACCGUGUUGACAGCAAGGUUGAUGAUCUCUGUAAAUUGCAGUUCAACAACAAACAAGAGAAUUCUAAUGAGAGGUUGGCAAAAUCCAAUGCGUUGGUUAGCAAUGCACUCGAACAAGAGAAUGGAAAAGUAAUUGUAGAAACUGCAUCAGGGCUGCGUUCUACUUCAUCCAGAACUUGGAAUGGUAGUGUUGAUAAAGGGCUUGAGUUAGCAUCAUCACAGGGGGGUGGUUCAUCAAGGCCACUGUUGUCCAAUGGUGUGACGGCUGAAGGCUCAAAUGCUCCAAGUUUCAAUGAACAAUGUGAUGGUCACUCAAAAAUAGAGAGAGAAGAGGGCGAAUUAUCACCAACUGGAGAACUUGAGGAUAAUUUUUCAAAUUAUCAAGAAGCUAGUCUUGAUAAAGCAAAAGACAGUGUCAAAGACAGGCAAUGUUUCAGAACGCGUGCAGACAAAACAUCUUGCAGGGGUGUGACAGGAGAAACUCAUAUAGAUGCUGAUGACGAAGGGGAGGAAAGUGCUCGGCGGUCAUCAGAGGACAGCAAAAAUGGUUCUGAGAAUUGUGAUAUUUCUGGAACCGAGUCUGUUGAUGGAGAGGACAGUACUCGUGAAGGGCAGGAUGAUGGGGGUCAUCAUGACCGUGAUAGUAAGGUUGAGAGUGAAGGUGAGGCUGAAGGAAUGGACGAUGCCCACAGUGCUGAGGGUGAUGGAACAGCAUUACCCUUUUCAGAACGUUUUCUUCUUCAUGUGAAGCCUCUUGCCAAGUACAUCCCAUUGGCAUUACGGGAUGAAAAAAAGAACUCCCGAAUUUUUUAUGGAAAUGACUCCCUUUAUGUUCUUUUUAGACUUCACCGAACAUUGUAUGAGCGGAUACGAUCAGCAAAGAUUAAUUCGUCAUCUGGUGAGAGGAAGUGGAGGGCUUCAAAUGAUACUAGCCCUAAUGAUCUCUACUCCAGAUUUAUGAGUGCACUUCGUAGUUUACUUGAUGGUUCGUCUGAUAAUAUGAAGUUUGAGGACGACUGCCGAUCUAUUAUUGGAACCCAGUCGUACGUUCUAUUCACUUUGGACAAAUUGAUUUAUAAACUCGUCAAACAGCUUCAAACCGUUGCUACUGAUGAGAUGGAUACCAGGCUUCUUCAAUUAUAUGUCUAUGAGAAUUCAAGAAAACAUGGAAAAGAUGUAGACACAGUUUAUCAUGAUAAUGCCCGUGUGCUUCUUCAUGAUGAUAACAUAUACCGAAUCGAAUGUUCAUGCACUCCAGGUCAUCUAUCCAUUCAGCUAAUGGAAUUUGGCCAUGAUAAGCCUGAAGUUACGGCUGUUUCUCUGGAUCCCAAUUUCUCAGCUUACCUGCACAAUGAUUUCCUCUCUAUUCUCCCUGACAGGAAAGAAAAGUCCGGAAUCUACUUACACAGAAAUAAGUGCAAGUAUGCCUGCAGGGAUGAUAUCUCUGCUGCAUGCCAGGCCAUGGAAGGACUCAAGGUUGUCAACGGUCUGGAGUGUAAAAUCACAUGCAAUUCAUCAAAGGUCUCCUACGUUUUAGAUACAGAAGAUUAUUUGUUUCGCCCAAAAGUCAGAAGGUUGAAUAGAAGUGGUUCUUACAGUCGCCACCUAUGAAGAUCUUCAAAUGGAAGCUCAAGCAGAGGACAACGAUAUCAAAGAUGGUUAUCGAGCUCGUGAUCACGUCCCAUUACCUAAUUGUUUCCAAGGGCACGGUAUGAGCAUAGCAAGGACGGAGCGUCCGGAAGAAAAUAAAAGGAAAAGCUGUAGGUGAAGUUAGUGAUUAUUUGUCUAAUCAGACAAGUUAGAAGAAGAAUACAAUGGAUGGAGGGAGGUCGGUCGAGAGCUAUAGAUCGGUUGCGUUGCGUGCGAAUGUUGUAAAUAGAGGUAAUUUGUGAUGUGAAGUGGAGAGAAACUACGUCGUCUACAAUUUACACAUUUCAUUCUUUCUGGUUUCUUCAAAUAAACUGUAUUUGUAUACAGCAGUUGGUUGCGUGUUUCGUCUAUAAUUAAUUUGUUGAGGCCACUGUAAAAUCAUUGGCUGCGAGUCAGAAAGGAAUUCCAACAGAGUUUUAAAUGCAUAUUCUUGUUUUCCGCCUACUUUGUAUGCCACACACGGCCUAUAGAGAGUACAUUCAUUAAGAAGGAAAUGUACACUUUUUUUUCUUUCUU